UGUAUGCUCAGAACUCAUCCAAAAGAAUGUAAUAAGAGGACAAAUGCCAAUGGCACUUCAUCUCCCACAAACUGGAGAGGAAAUGUUUGGCGUAUCCAGAUAGUCCGACAAAUGUGGUCCAAAUUUGAUCGACAUUCGAAUGCAUUUCAAGAGUCAGUUGACGAAUUGAUUCGAAAACCCGCAACUAUAUAAUAAAGCCUGGAAUUAUAACCGUGAACACAAGCUUCCACGGAAGAUUGCUGUACUAAUCGGAUGCACGACUGCGGUGAACUAUCUGUUACAGAUAUCGUGGUUCAGUGUGGAUGGCUAGAAUUUCUCAGAAUAAAAAAAAAUGACUACGCGAAGGGAAAUGCCAAAGAACGCCCGCUGGGGCAGGAUAACCCUCAACAGCUAUCCUUCAGAUCGAACAGACUUUGAAAAAGCUGAAAGUAUUGAUGCUGGAAAAUGCUUGUCAACGAAGUUGAACAAGUGAUUGGAACAUCGUUACAUUGACCUCAGAGGUACUAAGCUGCAAUGUAAUUCGUGAUUGCGAAUUUAUGAUUGAGUGCGAUUUUUCGAGAUAGGAACCGGAACGUAGUUUUGUAGGGGUGACUUUUGAUGGAUCAUCGAUAUAUAAUAGUCUGAUUAUAAUACAAAUUUUUGCAGAUUAACAAAAUAGUCACUCUAUAUGAUGCCCAAGAAAUUCUGCAGCAUUUCAAGCAGAUACUUAUAUCCGGUGCCUUUGAUCAUUAUUUUUAAAUCACGCGCUAAGUCGAGAAGUCAGUCAGCAUUUGCAUAGUAGUGUGAGUAGUAGUGCUCAAGAUGUUCGACAGUUUGGUGUAGCAAGAUUUUUUCAAGGAUUUUGGAGAUAGCCGGUAGCACACUAAUAGGUCGAAAGUCUUUCGGUUGCAGAGGACUGGAAACUUUAGGAAUAGGUGUUACGAUGGCAUUUUUCAGGAUUGAAGGAAACGUGUUGGCGUCGAUAAUUGAAUUGUAAAGAUGAGCCAGAGUGGGUAUGAUGAACGGACAUAGAUUUUUAAUGAACGACAUCGGAAUGCCGUCAGAUCCUGCUGCAUUGGAUUGUAUCUCCCAAACCAUAUACUUCUUCAAGGUUAGUGUGGCGAAAUUCCAGUUGUGUAGCUACGUGAUCAACGGAGGUCCGAUGGCUUGGCUCAGCUAUUCUGGUGCCGCACAUUCCAGGGCCAUGGUGCAGCA